rnacentral:tRNA from 1 species
GCCGCCGUAACGUAGAGAAGCCUAUGGCUCGCGGAUCCUGGAAGCGUACAGGCCUGUGGAGCCUGGAGGCCGGGUUCAAAUCCCGGCGGCGGCC